ensembl:lncRNA
AAACAAAACAUCAUGAAAACGUCUUUAUGAAAACGCUGGAAUCUUUCUUGUCAUCUGCACAGCUGUCCAGCAGCUGGGAUUUUUCCUUCACCCCUGCAGUGGGAUGGCAAAUGAUGUCACUAUUGCUGAUGCAUCUGCAGCCAGUAGAAAAGGGCCAUUGGUGCCAGUUUGUGAAGAGCUUCUUCCUGAUUGAGCUCAGGGAGAUGAACAGCUUGGAGAGCAAAUCAUCAUGGAGAAGAGAAAGGCUCAAAUUGAAAGCGAGGGAAAGUGUAGUGAUCUCUGUUGAGAUCUGCAGUGGAGGGAUUCUCAGACUCAUCAGCGUGGCUGAAUGUAUCACAUAGCAGAGCAGUAUUCUGGACGAAACUCGUGGGAUUCCUUCCCCUCUUCUGGGCCGAAACGAGCACCAUGGGCCCCAGGCAGCAACCGGCACUGGGCCCCUCCAUCCAGGUGCAGUGGAGGGAACUAUCAAUCCCCAUCCCAAAACUACACAGCAGGAAGAAGUUACCCAAAUAAAGCUUAUAACAACAGACCUCCAGGUUUCAGCAGGGACAGGCCCCACACACACCCCAGAGACAGAGGCAUCGGAAAAGAGCAAAGGGUCCCGAGGGGCUGUGGACCAACACAGAGCCAGCACCAUAAUUCAAUGCGACCCACCCUAAACUACAGCUCAGGGUGUGGAGGACACCUCUCUAGCAGCAACAAUCACAGCAGCCAGUCACACAGGUUUGGGGGUCCACAUCAGCAGCAGCGUCCCACUGGGCGUCCCCCACAGACCCAGGGAGACAAAUGGACACAGUCAACUCAGUCCAGGACAUUCCAAGGGCCCUCUCUCAAACGCCCAGCUCCUCCUCACAAUAUGUCACCACCACACCGGGAUCCAUCCCCUUCACGAGAUGACUGUCCCAGCAAGAGAAGCAGGAGCAUCAGUUCACAUCAGGUCAGUCAUGUUCCUUUCUUUGUUGAAAAUGAAUGUGCAGAGUCAACUACUAUUUACGUGUACAAUUCUGAAUUUUUAUAUUUUUCUGUUUAUUUUUGGUUAUAAAGUGAUAUGUCAGUCAAAAAGAUUUGGUUAGAAAGAACAGUAGUCUUUAAGCACCAUCUGCUGGUCAGAAUGAGAACAUCCUUAAGUGGUAAUGCAUG